CCGGCAUACUGGAAAGUCCACUGGCAGUCCCUGGGGCCUGCCAUCGAACUGAACGUGCUAAGCAUUAAGCAUAACACUAAGCUGUUGAUUUCGGGGACCCCUACGAUCAUCGGU